GUUUCACUGCGUUUGAGAGCAUGGGUGGAUGAGUGUUGUGUGACUGCGGAGUGAGUGUUCUUUUAAGAAAAACCUACACACUGAUCUUAUUUGAUCUGGUCGCAGUUUUGGCUCGACUGUGACCAGAAGUGAUAGGAAAAGAGCUCGCUAGCCUCCGUGGCAAUGAGCAGCAAGGCACGACUUCAACCUUCGCGGCCUCCACGCUUUUAAGUUGUGGUAAGAGGUGAUGAAUUGAUCAGAUAUACUAGUUCGGAGUGUGUUUGGAUUAUUUCCACACUUCACAACGAACAAUGAGUAAAGAGGCGAUUCUGAUCUAA